AGUGAACGCUGGCGGCAGGCCUAACACAUGCAAGUCGAACGGCAGCACAGUCAGAGCUGGCUCUUACGGGUGGCGAGUGGCGGACGGGUGGGGAAUACAUCGGAAUCUACUUUUUCGUGGGCGAUAACGUAGGGCAACUUACGCUAAUACCGCAUACGCCCUUCGGGUGAAAGCAGGGGAACUUAGGACCUUGCGCGAUUGAAUGAGCCGAUGUGGGUGUAGCUAGUUGGCGGGGUAAAGGCCCACCCAGCCGACGAUCCGUAGCUGGUGUGAGAGGACGAUAACCCGCCUCGGAACGGGAACACGGUCCAGACUCCUACGAGAGGGAGCAGUGGGGAAUAUUGGACAGUGGGCGCGAACAUGAUGCAGCCAGACCGCGUGGGUCAAGAAGGCCUUGGGGUUGUAAAGCCCUUUUGUUGGGAAAGAAAAGCAGCAGGUUAAUACCCAGCUGUUCUGACGGUACCUAAAGAAUAAGCACCGGCUAACUUCGUG
rnacentral:rRNA from 1 species